UACGUAGGGGGCAAGCGUUGUCCGGAUUUAUUGGGCGUAAAGAGCGUGUAGGCGGCUUUACAGGUCCGUUGUGAAAACUCGAGGCUCAACCUCGAGACGCCGGUGGAAACCGUAAAGCUAGAGUCCGGAAGAGGAGAGUGGAAUUCCUGGUGUAGCGGUGAAAUGCGCAGAUAUCAGGAAGAACACCAGUGGCGAAGGCGCCGCUCUGGGCCGUGACUGACGCUGAAGAGCGAAAGCGUGGGUAGCAAACAGG
rnacentral:rRNA from 1 species